AUACGGAGGGUGCAAGCGUUAUUCGGAAUCACAGGGCGUAAAGGACGCGUAGGCGGGUUGGCAAGUCAGAUGUGAAAUCCUACAGCUUAACUGUAGAACUGCAUUUGAAACUGCUAACCUAGAGUAUGGGAGGGGGAGAUGGAAUUAGUGGUGUAGGGGUAAAAUCCGUAGAUAUCACUAGGAAUACCGAAAGCGAAGGCGAUCUCCUGGAACAUAACUGACGCUAAGGCGUGAAAGCGUGGGGAGCAAACAGGAUUAGAAACCCUAGUAGUCC
rnacentral:rRNA from 1 species